UACGUAGGGUGCAAGCGUUAAUCGGAAUUACUGGGCGUAAAGGGUGCGUAGGUGGUUGUUUAAGUCUGUCGUGAAAUCCCCGGGCUCAACCUGGGAAUGGCGAUGGAUACUGGGCAGCUAGAGUGUGUCAGAGGAUGGUGGAAUUCCCGGUGUAGCGGUGAAAUGCGUAGAGAUCGGGAGGAACAUCAGUGGCGAAGGCAGCCCCCUGGGAUAAUACUGACGCUCAUGCACGAAAGCGUGGGGAGCAAACAGG
rnacentral:rRNA from 1 species